CGGACGGGUGAGUAACGCGUGAGUAAUCUGCCGGGGGGAGGGGGAUAGCCCGUGGAAACGCGGACUAAUACCCUGUGCGGUUUCAGUUGGCAUCAACUGGAGACCAAAGGCGCUGUUAAAGGCGCCGCCCCCUGAUGAACUCGCGGCCUAUCAGCUUGUUGGUGCGGGUAACGGCCCACCAAGGCGAUGACGGGUAGCCGGUCUGAGAGGAUGACCGGCCACACUGGAACUGAGACACGGUCCAGACACCUGCGGGUGGCAGCAGUCGAGAAUCAUUCACAAUGGGCGAAAGCCUGAUGGUGUGACGCCGCGUGGAGGAUGAAGGUCUUCGGAUUGUAAACUCCUGUCAUGAGAGAGUAAGUCCGGGCGAGGAAAUGCGCGCCGGUUCUGAGAGUAUCUCAAGAGGAAGAGACGGCUAACUCUGUGCCAGCAGCCGCGGUAAUACAGAGGUCUCAAGCGUUGUUCGGAAUCACUGGGCGUAAAGGGUGCGUAGGCGGCGCGGAAAGUCAGGGGUGAAAUCCCGGAGCUCAACUCCGGAACUGCCUUUGAUACUCCCGUGCUUGAGUGCUGGAGAGGAGCCCGGAAUUCACGGUGGAGCAGUGAAAUGCGUGGAUAUCGUGAGGAACACUAGUGGCGAAGGCGGGACUCUGGACAGCUACUGACGCUGAGGCACGAAGGCCAGGGGAGCAAAAGGGAUUAGAUACCCCUGUAGUC
rnacentral:rRNA from 1 species